rnacentral:rRNA from 1 species
GAUGAACGCUAGCGGCAGGCUUAAUACAUGCAAGUCGAGGGGCAGCACAGGUAGCAAUACUGGGUGGCGACCGGCAAACGGGUGCGGAACACGUACGCAACCUUCCUUUAAGUGGGGGAUAGCCCAGGGAAACUUGGAUUAAUACCCCUUAACAUUAUGAGAUGGCAUCAUUUUAUAAUUAAAGCUCCGGCGCUUAAAGAUGGGCGUGCGCCUGAUUAGGUAGUUGGCGGGGUAACAGCCCACCAAGCCUACGAUCAGUAACUGGUGUGAGAGCACGACCAGUCACACGGGCACUGAGACACGGGCCCGACUCCUACGGGAGGCAGCAGUAAGGAAUAUUGGUCAAUGGACGCAAGUCUGAACCAGCCAUGCCGCGUGGAGGAUGACGGCCCUCUGGGUUGUAAACUCCUUUUAUCUGGGAAGAAAUGCAGAUUUUCUAAUCUGUUUGACGGUACCAGAGGAAUAAGCACCGGCUAACUCCGUGCCAGCCGCCGCGGUAA